rnacentral:pre_miRNA from 1 species
GAGACACCCUUCUGGGGCAAGACUUGCUUCAGAGGGGCUUUGGUGCUCACUGAGUCUGCCCCCUGAGUGUGUCCCU